rnacentral:lncRNA from 1 species
UUUUCCAUGAUUGAAUUGGGCGAGAGCAUCAUCAUUGAUCAAAGAGAGCAUAGAGUAGUUGCAUGAGAAAAUAAAUAAAUAAACAUUUAUUUAUCUGGUGCAACACAAAAGCAUAUUCUGUUUAUUUCCAAAAAUAAAUUUCACUUGACACUAGCGUUUUUGUUUUGGUGUCAAUUUCUCAUUACACCAUAUCACAAUUCACCACCACACCCUUCUCUUCAAAUUCAAUCACACACGCAUAAAUCACCUUCUUCUCCCUCUCUUCUCUCUACACAUACACACAUUCAUAACCUCUCUAUCGCAAACAUUUAUUUAUCUGGUGCAACACAAAAGCAUAUUCUGUUUAUUUCCAAAAAUAAAUUUCACUUGACACUAGCGUUUUUGUUUUGGUGUCAAUUUCUCAUUACACCAUAUCACAAUUCACCACCACACCCUUCUCUUCAAAUUCAAUCACACACGCAUAAAUCACCUUCUUCUCCCUCUCUUCUCUCUACACAUACACACAUUCAUAACCUCUCUAUCGCAUCUCUCUCUCUCUCUCUCUCUCUCUCUCUCUCUCUCUCUCUCUCUCUCUCUACGCCAAUGGCCACCGCUACCGAUAACAACCUCUCCAAUCUCAAAUCUGCUGUCGCCGGAUUGGAA